GAAAUGCGAUAAGUAAUGUGAAUUGCAGAAUUCAGUGAAUCAUCGACUCUUUGAACGCACCUUGCGCUCCUUGGUAUUCCUUGGAGCAUGCCUGUUUGAGUAUCAUGAAAUCUUCAAAGUAAAUCUUUUGUUAACUCAAUUGGUUUCUACUUUGGUAUUGGAGGUCUUUGCAGCUUCACACCUGCUCCUCUUUGUUCAUUAGCUGGAUCUCAGUGUUAUGCUUGGUUCCACUCGGCGUGAUAAGUUAUCUAUCGCUGAGGACACUGUAAAAGGUGGCCAAGGUAAAUGCAGAUGAACCGCUUCUAAUAGUCCAUUGACUUGGACAAUACUUUUAUGAUCUGAUCUCAAAUCAGGUAGGACUACCCGCUGAACUUAAGC
rnacentral:misc_RNA from 1 species